rnacentral:rRNA from 1 species
CACGGGGGGAGCGAGCGUUGUUCGGAAUUACUGGGUGUAAAGGGCUCGUAGGCGGGGAAGAAGGUCGAAUGUGAAAACUCAUGGCUUAACCAUGAGCCUGCAUCCGAAACCACUUCUCUUGAGUAUCGGAGAGGAUAGCGGAACUCCUGGUGUAGCGGUGAAAUGCGUAGAUAUCAGGAGGAACGCCGGUGGCGAAGGCGGCUAUCUGGCCGAAUACUGACGCUCAGGAGCGAAGGCCGGGGGAGCAAACAGGAUUAGAUACCCUGGUAGUCCCGGCAGUAAACGAUGGGUACUAGGUGUUGGAGGGAAUUGACCCCUUCAGUGCCGCAGCUAACGCAUUAAGUACCCCACCUGGGGAGUACGACCGCAAGGUUGAA